GCUAGCAUGGCGCAUUGGUUUGAGCAUUGGACUACAACUCUGGAGGCUAGGGUUUGAAUCCCUGCUCAGCC